rnacentral:rRNA from 1 species
AUUGAACGCUGGCGGCGUGCCUAACACAUGCAAGUCGAGCGGUAACAGGUGUAGCAAUACAUGCUGACGAGCGGCGAACGGGUGAGUAAUGCUUCGGAAUCUACCCUAUAGUGGGGAAUAACUAGCCGAAAGGUUAGCUAAUACCGCAUAUGUCCUACGGGAGAAAGCAGGGGAUCGCAAGACCUUGCGCUGAUGGAUGAGCCGAAGUCGGAUUAGCUAGUUGGUGAGGUAACGGCUCACCAAGGCGACGAUCCGUAGCUGGUCUGAGAGGACGACCAGCCACACUGGAACUGAGACACGGUCCAGACUCCUACGGGAGGCAGCAGUGGGGAAUAUUGGACAAUGGGGGAAACCCUGAUCCAGCGACGCCGCGUGUGUGAAGAAGGCCUGCGGGUUGUAAAGCACUUUUAGUGGGGAUGAAAGGUACUCGGCUAAUACCUGGGUACUCUGACCUAACCCACAGAAAAAGCACCGGCUAACUCUGUGCCAGCCGCCGCGGUAA